GACGAACGCUGGCGGCGUGCUUAACACAUGCAAGUCGAACGGUGAACCUCUUCGGAGGGGAUCAGUGGCGCACGGGUGAGUAACACGUGGGCAACCUGCCCCCGGCUCUGGGAUAACUCCAAGAAAUUGGGGCUAAUACCGGAUGUUCACCGCUUCCCGCAUGGGUGGUGGUGGAAAGGGUUUCCGGCUGGGGAUGGGCCCGCGGCCUAUCAGCUUGUUGGUGGGGUAGUGGCCUACCAAGGCGACGACGGGUAGCCGGCCUGAGAGGGUGGCCGGCCACACUGGGACUGAGACACGGCCCAGACUCCUACGGGAGGCAGCAGUGGGGAAUAUUGCGCAAUGGGCGGAAGCCUGACGCAGCGACGCCGCGUGGGGGAUGACGGCCUUCGGGCUGUAAACCUCUUUCAGCAGGGACGAAGCGCAAGUGACGGUACCUGCAGAAGAAGCACCGGCCAACUACGUG
rnacentral:rRNA from 1 species